CCAGGAGGUCCCAUCUGAGGCAUAUUCAUUGGCAUCUGCUGAGGUGGAAGGGGCUGCUGAAACCCUUGAGGCAUCUGUGACAUUGGGCCUUGCCCUGGGAAAGGCUGAGGUCCAUGGAGAGAUCCUCCUGGGGGCGGGGGCUGCACCUGCUCAGCUUGCUUUUGUGCAAGUCUCUCAAUCUUCAGUUGCUGUCCAAAAAAGAGAGACAGAAAAUCAACUAAGCACAGAGUUCAGGACUGUGGGAAGCCUUGAAGACAGAUGAAGUUUUCAGGAAGAAAAGUAAAUUGGAGAUAUUGCCAGAGGGAGAGCCAAACCUCCUUCUUGUGAUUGACAGAGCAGGUCUUACCUCCUGGAGCUGUGGAAACAGAAGAAAACCCAUUGUUGGAAUGGUGAUCACUGAUAACACGGGCAGUAAAAUCAUCCUUAGAAAAAGCUUGCACAGCUGACCAACACCUUUCCAAUGUGCUGAUGAAAAUGCCACAUACCCAACAUGCCAGAACAGCAAGGACCCAUCAGACCCUCCACUGGCAAACAGCCCUUCAUGAACAGGAUGCCAGGCCACAGCUGAAACACACAGUAAGCCACAAUCACAAGGUAUAACACUAGGAUUUCUAACAAAUGGAAAUAAUUUAAAUUUUAAAUCUAAGCUUCGUAAUAAUAAUCUACAUCAUAAAAAGAGUUCUGACCUGUGGC